AAGCCCAUUCCUUCUGUGAGCGUGCAAGACAACUUCAUCAACGCAGACCAACACAACUUCUGCUAAGUAAUAAGUUCGUGCAAAGAACAGAACAACGUAUCGAGUCUAAAAGGAGAGCCGCGCUGGUCAAUGCAGAAGGAGGGGGGGUGUCAGUCAGCGUGCGUGAACUUAGAAGAAUUUGUUUUAAAAUCGUCUGCAUAGCUUGGCUUUCUGCUGAGAGAAGUUCCAGACCGUUCUUAAAACAAAACGCACCCAAACGCAUUCCGGAACAACUGGAUAGAUCUUCCAGCUCUGACCCCCAUCCAUCCCAGAGCCAUGGGAGUGAAAGGGUUGCACUGCUUUCCCUGGUACAGCCGCUGGAAGGAGAGAAGCAAGGAGGCUCAUCGGAACAGGCUGCGAGAACGGCCCGCGGGAAAAACGAGGCUGUCGUCGACGCAGUCAGUCAGCAGCGAGGGCGACUCACAGAGCCACCGGGCCUACUUCAGCAGGAAGGCCCACGUAUCCUUCCGCCACGAGAUGGACUCCCCUGUGGCGAUCAUCGACUCCACUAACUGAGGACGACCCCAACCCCAACCCCGAGGACGACCCUCAACCCCAACCCCAACCCCAACCCCAACCCGAGGACGACCCUCAACCCCAACCCCAACCCCAACCCCGAGGACGACCCUCAACCCCAACCCCAACCCGAGGACGACCCUCAACCCCAACCCCAACCCCAACCCCCAACUCCGGAGAGGACAGCUCAAACCCCAGCACCAGCACUGCGAAUUACCCAAGGCCUUAAAUGGAACAGUGUGUGCGCCCCUUACCAGAGAGGGAGAUCCCUUAGCCCUUAACAGACUGCAGUCCCUUCUCACAUCGGCAGUCUCUGCGUGUCCCUCUUCGGCAUGUUUAGCUCUGCCACGCUUCCUAGCUGUGCUGUAUUUCUGUUAUGUGUUGUUAUUAUUAUUUUUUUUUUCCCUGGAGGGCUAAACACAUAAAAGAGUCUUAAAAAUAAUGUCUAAAAAAAUCAAAAAAGGAUAUGCGAGAUGCAUGCUGGGAUAUAUUUGUUAGAGCUGCAGGGAACUGAUUGCUCGGAUCAAGCUCGGUCCACAGGUGUCGAAUCGGGCUGAUUCACCGUUCCGAGUGAAGCGAGUGCAGAAACAGCUGCUCGGGUUUGUGUGGAUCGCUGUUCUCCGCAGUCUGAAGAAACACAGCGACCAUCACAAACCCGAGCCGCUGUUUCGUCACUCCUUUCACUCGGAACGGCGGAUCAGCCCGAUGGACACCAACGACCCUCGCCCGAUUUCUGGGGACAGCUGGAUCCGGACAAAUUCGAAUGAUCGGUUCGUGCAACACCGAUAUUGAUCUCGUAUCAGCGAUUUAUAUUUGACGAUACGUUUACCGCAACAAAGAGUUAUCUCUGUGCCAGCCGUAACACUGAUAUAUAAUUGAUAAAUUGAUCAUAUACCCUAGCUGUAUUUUUUUUUUUUUUUGCAGUCGCAAUGCUACCCAGAUCCAAGCAGACAAUGUUGAACUUCAAUUUUGGUGAGGGGGAGAGUGUGUGCAAGAGCCCAGAUGGAUAUUUGGGGCCAAAACCACAAAGUAUUUACCCUCGGACUGGGGUGACCACAUGACUCCACGUUGACUGGGACAGUUCAGGCUUUUCAACUCGCAUCGCAGUGCAUUGUGGGAACCAGUACCUGUCUCGGGUUCUCCUUUCACGCGUUUAAGAGAAGCAGGACUACACUUACCAGAAUGCAUUGGGGUGCGAGUUCUAAAGCAUUUACUGUCUCUGUGAACACAGAGUCCUAUGGUAACUGCACAGUACUAAACACUGUUACACAACCAGAAGCAACAGCGGCUGCAGACUGUCAAUACAACUUAACUUGUGUACAUACUGUGAAUGCUUGUUUAAAAGUCAAAUAUCCUGCUAGAUAACCUAAAACAAUGGUCACGAAUUCCUAAUGAAUUCUGUCUGAAUGCCUCGGGAGUUCUGAAGUGAUUUUAAAUUCAGCCCCCCUGUUAAUUCAUCAUGUUCCUAAUCAAUUCACUGAUUGUUCUUCGUGAAUUCAUUAGCAGGGGACUGGGAGCGAGACGUGUUAAUUGACGCACGAAUGCGCGCCUUAUACAUGUGAUCAACGCCUUUGUUAUAAAAGAACAUGGAAUUAACAGGGGGCGAUUAAAUCGACUUGAAUGAACAGGGCUGAAUUCAAAAUGAAUGACUUCAGAACUGGGAUGACGUGCAGGGCUGCAAAUUCACAGGUGCCUGGUUCUGUACGCUCAGAGAAAACGACUUUGUAAUUAGUUUUUCCUUGUACUAAAAAUAAAAGAAUUAUUUGAAAAAAAGAAAGCACGUGGCUACUGCGGGAACGAAUUAAAUUUACAGUUAAACUCCACUGGAAAGAUUUUUAAGAGUUUGCUGCUAGUGAAUUACAUUGUGUAGUUAUACGGAUAGCUUCUGCUAAUGUGUUUUAUUAAACUUUUAAAAGUGACUUUUAUAACUUUUUUUUUUUUUAAUGUUUAACAAAAUGGAUCCACUUCGUUAGUUCCUCUUGCUGAGUCUUGACAGUACGACGGGGAAACAAAACCGGACCCGGGUGCUGGACUUCUCCUCCCGUCUGAUUCCGGAGAGGAUUGGUUCAGCCUGGUGUGAGGGGCGUGGCGAGCGCAGGGAAGCACAGGCUUCACUUGAGUUUGUUCACGGAAAAGCACAUUUCAGCAGAUUGUCGUUGUUGUUUUUUUUUAAAUGAAUAACUUUGUCUUGUCCCGAGUCUGUUUGUUUUGUGCUGGUUCAUAAAACACAUAGGAAAGUCACGUCCCCCGUUGGCAGCAGCUACACUUAUAACAUGGCUGGUAUCAUAAAUGAUCGUGCAAAUUGAACGAGGUAAACUUUUGUCUGCUCGGUAUUUCUCUUCAAGAAAGCAACACGAUUCAAAAGGAAGAGGCCUGGACAGAGUCUGAUUAAAAACAAGUGACUAUUUAUUAAUAA